UAGACUUUUCAACUCUUGUUUGCAAGCAAGGAAGCAGGUUUGAAGGCAGAGUAACCUAGCUGUGGUCACACAACUAGGAAACAGGGGAGGUAGGAUGUAACCCACAUUCUGUGUUACUCUAAAUGCUGUUCUUCCCAGUGUACUCAAUGUUUGCAACCAUGUCUGUGCCAGAUAUAUUGUCAAAGGGGCCCGAGGAGGGGGAAGAGGGUCCUGUAGAGAAAGAGUG